UACAGAGGGUGGCGAGCGUUGUCCGGAAUCACUGGGCGUAAAGGGCGCGUAGGCGGCUUGAUAAGCGUGCGGUGAAAGCCCGGGGCUCAACCCCGGGUCGGCCGUGCGAACUGUCGAGCUGGAGCACUGUAGAGGCAGGUGGAAUUCCGGGUGUAGCGGUGGAAUGCGUAGGAGAUCCGGAAGAACACCAGGUGGCGAAGGCGGCCUGCUGGGCAGUGG
rnacentral:rRNA from 1 species